CCCGCUCAGAAACUUAAAGGAAUUGACGGGGCCCGCACAAGCGGUGGAGUAUGUGGUUUAAUUCGAUGCAACGCGAAGAACCUUACCUGGUCUUGACAUCCCGGAGACCCUUAGGAACUAGGGGUGCUUCCAUCUGGAAGAAUCUGGAGACAGGUGCUGCAUGGCUGUCGUCAGCUCGUGUCGUGAGAUGUUGGGUUAAGUCCCGCAACGAGCGCAACCCUUGCCUUUAGUUGCCAGCAGUUCGGCUGGGCACUCUAAAGGGACUGCCGGUGUUAAACCGGAGGAAGGUGGGGAUGACGUCAAGUCCUCAUGGCCUUUAUGACCAGGGCUACACACGUACUACAAUGGCCGAUACAAAGGGCAGCGACACUGCGAGGUGAAGCCAAUCCCGUAAAAUCGGUCUCAGUCCGGAUUGGAGUCUGCAACUCGACUCCAUGAAGUUGGAAUCGCUAGUAAUCGUGGAUCAGCAUGCCACGGUGAAUACGUUCCCGGGCCUU
rnacentral:rRNA from 1 species